GCUCCCGAGGGCACGGACGCACGGAGGGCUGACUUUCAGCCCCGUCCUGCAGUGAAGGAGUGACGGUUGGGACAGGCGGCACUCAGGCCCCUCGGAGCUCACAGAGCUCAUGCUACGCGGCUCAGGACCAGCUCACACGGCUGUUUUCCCAUCCUAGACAACGACGCCCCUGAGGACGGGAACCCAUGCCACACACCAUUAGUACCCCUCGGACCUGAAUGCUGGGCACGUGGUGGGGGGUCAACGGGGGGACCCGGAACCCAGCGGCGAGGGGAGCGCGGACGCAGGUACCAGGCUACUGGGAGCAUCCCACCAUCCCUGGGCCACGCCGAGCCGAUGACCCACCAACUCGCCACUCCGUCCCCAGCAGACGGCCUUGCUGCCCUCUGCUCACCCCACCCAGGGCCAGAGGGAUGUGAAAAUGCCCACUGGUGCCGAACGCCAGGAAGGAAAGGAAAGAACGCUAACAAUCCAGUGCUCCCCUCACGGAAAGGCAAUAAGCACGCAGUCACAAUCCUGCCUGAGAAUGGCACUGCCCUCUGAGAAGUGGUUAUUCUCAAUGUUUCACGCCAAUCUCCUCAGCAAGCUGGAGCUUAUCCUCUGCUCCCUGUGUUGGCCUCCCCUGCCCUUCCUUCUACCCAACUUGUUCUU